rnacentral:lncRNA from 1 species
AGCUCCCCACAGCCGCCGCCGCCGCCGCCGCAACAUGGCGGCGAGGAGAGGCGGGAAGCGCCGCCACAGAGCCCGGCGGCGGGACGGCACCACCGCGCGGGAUACAAGAAUCACACUCCUUCAUUCUCGUGACUAAUGGUGGAUACAAACAGAAUAAAAGAAAACAACCAAUAAAUAUGAAAACUGAAAAGGCUAGUAAAAUUGUAUAAGGAAACAUGAAUCAUGCUUUAUUGCACAUUAAAUUAAAUGCGGGAAUCAGGCUAGCAUUCAUCUGAGGCAUUUUGUAAGUUUAUCUCUGCAUUAGCCCAUCUACCUAAAGGUUGAGAUGUGAACUGUAGGUGUCUCAGAUCAGCAGGUAAGAUG